GACGAACGCUGGCGGCGUGCCUAAUACAUGCAAGUCGAACGCUGAAGAGAGGAGCUUGCUCUUCUUGGAUGAGUUGCGAACGGGUGAGUAACGCGUAGGUAACCUGCCUUGUAGCGGGGGAUAACUAUUGGAAACGAUAGCUAAUACCGCAUAACAAUGGAUGACACAUGUCAUUUAUUUGAAAGGGGCAAUUGCUCCACUACAAGAUGGACCUGCGUUGUAUUAGCUAGUAGGUGAGGUAAUGGCUCACCUAGGCGACGAUACAUAGCCGACCUGAGAGGGGGAUCGGCCACACUGGGACGGAGACACGGCCCAGACUCCUACGGGAGGCAGCAGUAGGGAAUCUUCGGCAAUGGGGGCAACCCUGACCGAGAAACGCCGCGUGAGUGAAGAAGGGUGUCGGAUCGUAAAGCUCUGUUGUAAGUCAAGAACGGGUGUGAGAGUGGAAAGUUCACACUGUGACGGUAGCUUACCAGAAAGGGACGGCUAACUACGUG
rnacentral:rRNA from 1 species